rnacentral:snoRNA from 1 species
UCGCUGCCUUUGAGCCCCCGCUGCGCCUGUGCGUGGCGCCGGGGUCAGGCUACAGCGCCAGAGCACACGCUUGCGCAUAACUGGGGAUGUCUGCUCUCCGCCAGCGGCCCUUUUAACCGCAAGCAUCAGGG